GUAGUCCACGCCGUAAACGGUGGGUGCUAGGUGUGAGCGGUAUUCCACGCCGUUCGUGCCGCAGCUAACGCAUUAAGCACCCCGCCUGGGGAGUACGGCCGCAAGGCUAAAACUCAAAGGAAUUGACGGGGGCCCGCACAAGCAGCGGAGCAUGUGGCUUAAUUCGACGCAACGCGAAGAACCUUACCAAGGCUUGACAUACACCGAAAACUCGUAGAGAUACGGGGUCCGCAAGGGCGGUGUACAGGUGGUGCAUGGUUGUCGUCAGCUCGUGUCGUGAGAUGUUGGGUUAAGUCCCGCAACGAGCGCAACCCUCGUUCUAUGUUGCCAGCGCGUCAUGGCGGGGACUC
rnacentral:rRNA from 1 species